GACGAACGCUGGCGGCGUGCCUAAUACAUGCAAGUCGAACGAGAGCGACCGGUGCUUGCACUGGUCAAUCUAGUGGCGAACGGGUGAGUAACACGUGGGUAACCUGCCCAUCAGAGGGGGAUAACAUUCGGAAACGGAUGCUAAAACCGCAUAGGUUCUACAGUCGCAUGACUGAAGAAGGAAAAGAGGCUUCGGCUUCUGCUGAUGGAUGGACCCGCGGUGCAUUAGCUAGUUGGUGAGGUAACGGCUCACCAAGGCCGUGAUGCAUAGCCGACCUGAGAGGGUGAUCGGCCACAUUGGGACUGAGACACGGCCCAAACUCCUACGGGAGGCAGCAGUAGGGAAUCUUCCGCAAUGGACGCAAGUCUGACGGAGCAACGCCGCGUGAGUGAAGAAGGAUUUCGGUUCGUAAAACUCUGUUGUUAGAGAAGAACAGCGCAUAGAGUAACUGUUAUGCGUGGGACGGAUCUAACC
rnacentral:rRNA from 1 species